rnacentral:rRNA from 1 species
GACGAACGCUGGCGGCGUGCUUAACGCAUGCAAGUCGAACGGAAAGGCCCUGCUUUUGUGGGGUGCUCGAGUGGCGAACGGGUGAGUAACACGUGAGUAACCUGCCCUUGACUUUGGGAUAACUUCAGGAAACUGGGGCUAAUACCGGAUAGGAGCUCCUGCUGCAUGGUGGGGGUUGGAAAGUUUCGGCGGUUGGGGAUGGACUCGCGGCUUAUCAGCUUGUUGGUGGGGUAGUGGCUUACCAAGGCUUUGACGGGUAGCCGGCCUGAGAGGGUGACCGGCCACAUUGGGACUGAGAUACGGCCCAGACUCCUACGGGAGGCAGCAGUGGGGAAUAUUGCACAAUGGGCGGAAGCCUGAUGCAGCAACGCCGCGUGCGGGAUGACGGCCUUCGGGUUGUAAACCGCUUUCGCCUGUGAUGAAGCGUGAGUGACGGUAAUGGGUAAAGAAGCACCGGCUAACUACGUG